GGGCCCGCACAAGCGGUGGAACAUGUGGUUUAAUUCGAUGCAACGCGAAGAACCUUACCUAGACUUGACAUCCUCGGAACCUGCUGGAAACAGUGGGGUGCCUCGGAGCCGAGAGACAGGUGGUGCACGGUUGUCGUCAGCUCGUGUCGUGAGAUGUUGGGUUAAGUCCCGCAACGAGCGCAACCCUCGUGGUCUGUUGUUACAGCUCGCAGGAGUAUGAACCCUCAGGCCAGACUGCCGGUGACAAACCGGAGGAAGGUGGGGAUGACGUCAAAUCAUCACGCCCCUUAUGUCUAGGGCUACACACGUGUUACAAUGGGAUAGGACAAUGGGCAGCUUGACAGCGAUGUCUGGCAAAUCCUCAAACCUACCCUCAGUUCGGAUCGGAGUCUGCAACUCGACUCCGUGAAGUCGGAAUCGCUAGUAACUGCAGAUCAGCACGCUGCAGUGAAUACGUUCCCGGGCCUU
rnacentral:rRNA from 1 species